GGAGAAGUGUUGUUACCUGAAGAAGUAAGAAGACUGAGAGUAGAAAUCAGGAGUGAAAGGAACGGUUUUGAAGCUGCUCUGCAUUGUUGUUGAUUCUUAGAAGAAGAAGAUGAUGAAAGAUGAUGACACAAAGGGAAUCAGGGGAAAAAGAAGUGAGCUUUCUUAAGGAGUUGGGUUAUCAGAAGAAGAAAGUGAAGUUAAAAGGGAAGGAGGGAGUGAGGAGAGAAUUCAUUAAAGAGGUGAAAAGAUGGCGAAU